UACGGGGAGGGUAAGCGUUGUUCGGAAUUACUGGGCGUAAAGGGCUCGUAGGCGGCCAACUAAGUCAGACGUGAAAUCCCUCAGCUUAACUGGGGAACUGCGUCCGAUACUGGAUGGCUUGAGUUUGGGAGAGGGAUGCGGAAUUCCAGGUGUAGCGGUGAAAUGCGUAGAUAUCUGGAGGAACACCGGUGGCGAAGGCGGCAUCCUGGACCAACACUGACACUGAGGAGCGAAAGCCAGGGGAGCAAACGGG
rnacentral:rRNA from 1 species